rnacentral:ncRNA from 1 species
CUAUAAGCUUUGAACAAGAGGUUUUGAUCGCUAACUGUUUUCAGAGAGAGGCGGGUGGGUGCGACGCUUUAACAGACGAUCAGAUAGUAGCUUGUGAGCUGUCCUACUGAAACUAAGUAAGUAAGACCGGAUAUCUAUUCGUUAACGCAGAUCAAAGAGGGGUAAAAACCCAAUUUAGGUGGUACCACGGCACUGUCGUCCUAAGC